UUACAAUCAGAUGAGGAUGAUGAUGGGCUGUGGCUGCAGUCUGGCUCCACUGGUCUGGUGUAGAACAGGAUCUCUGGAGGCUGUUUGUAACUGUGGUCACAAAAUUCAAUCUUCUGGGAGAACGGGAAGCAGCUCAAUUUUGUGGGGCCUCUUACAUAGCUCAAGGUCUGGGCCCCAGGGCCUGACGGUGAGUAUGCCCAUAAAGCCCACCCAUAAGUCCACCUACAUGAGUCCGCUCACAGGGAGUAGAGUGUGUAGGGUAUGUGUUAUGUGUUACUGUAGAGGAUCUAAUGUGUGUGCUUAUGGAAUGUAGUGUAUAGGGAUACCAGUUUGUGUAGGUGAUGCAGUGUGUUUGUGUGUAAGGGAUAGAAAGCAGUGAGUGUUUGUGUAUACGGGAUGUAUUGUGUGUUUGUAAGGGGUGCGUUGAGUGUGUGUAAGAGAUGCAUUGUGUUUCUGUGUGUGUGUAAGAGAAGCAGUGUGUGUUUGCAUAUGUGUGUAAGGGAUGCAUUGUGUGUUUCUGUGUAUGUGUGCAAAGGAUGCAUUGUCUUUAUGUCUAAGGGUUGCAUUGUGUGUUUCUCUGUGUGUAAGGGAAGCAUGUUG